CCAGGAGAAGGUGGCCCAUGCCAGAGCCCAGCUCAGAGCAUCUCAAUCUCAGGCCUUGCCUCAUCUAUAUGCUCUUUUAUGUGCAGGUGCAGCCCACGUUGUGGUGUAAUGCAAAUCUAUGGCUAUACUGUAUCACAGCGAAUAAAUCCAUUUGGAGAAAAAGGCACCUGGUGAAAGGCCACAGUGCAAUGGAAUGCAAUGCUGCUAUGUGCAAUGCUGCUUACAAGAAAACUUUGGCAAAUGACCAGUGGAGGCAACCCGCGGACGGAGGAAAAGGGCAGGUCCCUGCAUCCAUCUCAGCGCCCUGCAGCCGGCGGCCUGUCCUUUCAGGCGGGAGUUCCCAGCGGCGUUCCUAGGUGUUUUGAAUGUGUGCCCCGGGGCUGGGGGAAGCCUCGUGCAGCUCUGCUGCUGUGGGAGGCAGGGGGGACUGGAGGGGACGGGAGCAGUGUGAGGCUUUCAUGUGCAGAGGGGACAUGAGGACAUCUGGACGGCAUCCCUGUGAGCAGGGCUCCCGCUGCAGGCCUUUGAAAACCCCGCUGCCCUGGCUCCCCAGUGCCUUGGAACUUUCUCCCUGGAGAAUGCAGAAAAGCCAGUGCCCUUGAUUUCUUAGACAUCUACAGCUUCGACACGUGCAGGGUUAUCCAGGAGCAGUGAGGUUUGGGGUGAGGGCCUGAGCACUUUCUGAAAAGUGCUUGUUUCUAAGAACCUGGAACUAUGAGUGAGGAGUGACGUGAGUUCUGCCCUCAAGUCCUCUGAUAACCAGCUGUGCAGUCUUGAACAAGUGACUUCAUCUCUUCAUCUUUAAAAUAAACCUUUUGGGCCAAAUGACUCGAAUGUUUUUCCAACUUCAUUUUUUUUUUUUUUUUUACUGUUUAACAGAAAUGCUGAUUGAACUUGGGCUGGGAACAAAGAAAUCUUUUCUAAUUAGAGUAGAAAUGAUGACUAAUAUACUGCUCAAGCUUCUGAGGCUCAUUGGGAUCAAAGGCACACUCACUCUGAUAAGGGAGGGCACUGACCGGGCUGCUGACUGUUUCCACCAGCCUUCGGGUUUUAACAUCUAACUAUAGUUAUGCCCAUGCAUGCUGGCCAUGUGCUAGACACACGCUUCCUUGUCUUUGCUGAAGUCUAGUGGCUUUUGGGUUAUUUGUAUUUUUUAACAGGAGAAACCUGAGAGAUCCUAAGUAGAUAUCAGGCAAGAGCUUGUCUAGUUCCAUGUUUUGUUUUGUAUGUUUUGUUUUGAGAUAGGGUCUUGCUCUGUCACCUAGGUUGGAGCUCAGUGGUGCAAUUGUGGCCCACCGUAGCCUCGAACUCCCGGCCCAAGUCAUCCUCACAUCUCAGCCUCCUGAGUAGCUGGGACAACAGGCGUGCGCUUCCUGGCUAUUUUUUUUUUUUUUUUUUUUUUGUAGAAACAGGGUUUUGCCAUGUUGCCCAGGCUGGUCUCAAAUUCCUGGGCUCAAGCGAUUUGCCCUCCUCGUUCUCCAAAUGUGCUAGGAUUACAGGCAUGAGCCACCGAACCCAGUCCACUUCCAUGGAUUUUAAAAAUGUUAAACACCUACCUUUAAGAAAGAUGAUGAGGCAAUAUCACCUUUGUUUUUGUUGCCGUCUAUCAGAGAGAAUGACUCCUAAGGAGUCAUUCCUAUGAGUCUUGCAGAGUGAUUUUCUGUUUGUUCAGCUCCUUCACAGAGUCUUGGUUGGACAGCUCCCCGUCACCUUCCCCGACAGGGCCUUGCCUUUGAAAAGGCUAAUUCUGGUAGACAGGCAGCUUCAACAGGAAGUGGCACACCAAGGACCAUUGCUUUUGGAUGUGGUUCAUGGGAUGUGGAGUGUCCAAGGAGAUGCUGAUAGGCCUAAAGAUCAGAGAUCAUUUGACUUCGGUAGAUUGUCAAAAGAGAACACAACACAAUUGCAAAUGGACUUUAAAAUGAGAGAAAAUCAAAUUUCUAGUGACAAUCAUAAAAAUGCCACAAUCCACCAUGGACAGCCACACCACCAACCUAGUCAUUUUUUAUAUUUCUAGCUUGUACUUAAUCCAUUCCAGCAUGGAGCAAAACGCUACCAGUGUUCU
rnacentral:lncRNA from 1 species